rnacentral:rRNA from 1 species
GAUGAACGCUGGCGGCGUGCCUAAUACAUGCAAGUCGAGCGAACGGAUGAGAAGCUUGCUUCUCUGAUGUUAGCGGCGGACGGGUGAGUAACACGUGGAUAACCUACCUAUAAGACUGGGAUAACUUCGGGAAACCGGAGCUAAUACCGGAUAAUAUUUUGAACCGCAUGGUUCAAAAGUGAAAGACGGUCUUGCUGUCACUUAUAGAUGGAUCCGCGCUGCAUUAGCUAGUUGGUAAGGUAACGGCUUACCAAGGCAACGAUGCAUAGCCGACCUGAGAGGGUGAUCGGCCACACUGGAACUGAGACACGGUCCAGACUCCUACGGGAGGCAGCAGUAGGAAUCUUCCGCAAUGGGCGAAAGCCUGACGGAGCAACGCCGCGUGAGUGAUGAAGGUCUUCGGAUCGUAAAACUCUGUUAUUAGGGAAGAACAUAUGUGUAAGUAACUGUGCACAUCUUGACGGUACCUAAUCAGAAAGCCACGGCUAACUACGUG